rnacentral:hammerhead_ribozyme from 1 species
GCACUGCUGAGGAGUCCCUAUAUGGGACGAAACGGCUGUCCAGUGC